rnacentral:rRNA from 1 species
UAGAGUUUGAUCCUGGCUCAGGAUGAACGCUAGCGGGAGGCUUAACACAUGCAAGUCGAGGGGUAAGGCAUCUUCGGAUGUACACGACCGGCGCACGGGUGAGUAACGCGUAUGCAACCUACCUUUAACAGGGGAAUAGCCCAGGGAAACUUGGAUUAAUGCCCCAUAAUAUAUAACCUUCGCAUGUUUGAUAUAUUAAAGUUUCGACGGUUACAGAUGGGCAUGCGUGACAUUAGUUAGUUGGUAAGGUAACGGCUUACCAAGACUGUGAUGUUUACGGGGUCUUAAAGGAUGGUCCCGCACACUGGUACUGAGACACGGACCAGACUCCUACGGGAGGCAGCAGUGAGGAAUAUUGGUCAAUGGACGCAAGUCUGAACCAGCCAUGCCGCGUGAAGGAUGACGGCCCUACGGGUUGUAAACUUCUUUUAUACAGGAAGAAAAUACCUUACGAGUAAGGUACUGACGGUACUGUAAGAAUAAGGAUCGGCUAACUCCGUGCCAGCAGCCGCGGUAAUACGGAGGAUCCAAGCGUUAUCCGGAUUUAUUAGGUUUAAAGGGUCCGCAGGCGGACUUUUAAGUCAGUGGUGAAAUCCUGCAGCUUAACUGCAGAACUGCCAUUGAUACUGAAAGUCUUGAGUGUGGUUGAGGUAGGCGGAAUGUGUAGUGUAGCGGUGAAAUGCUUAGAUAUUACACAGAACACCGAUUGCGAAGGCAGCUUACUAUGCUAUUAUUGACGCUGAGGCACGAAAGCGUGGGGAGCGAACAGGAUUAGAUACCCUGGUAGUCCACGCCGUAAACGAUGAUUACUGGUUGUGUGCAAUACACAGUGCGCGACUGAGGGAAACCAUUAAGUAAUCCACCUGGGGAGUACGUUGGCAACAAUGAAACUCAAAGGAAUUGACGGGGGCCCGCACAAGCGGAGGAACAUGUGGUUUAAUUCGAUGAUACGCGAGGAACCUUACCUGGGCUUAAAUGGAGAACGACUGCCGCCGCAAUAGGGAUUUCCUUCGGGACAAUUUACAAGGUGCUGCAUGGUUGUCGUCAGCUCGUGCCGUGAGGUGUCGGGUUAAGUCCCAUAACGAGCGCAACCCCUAUCGUUAGUUGCUAGCAGGUAAUGCUGAGGACUCUAGCGAGACUGCCGGUGUAAACCGAGAGGAAGGUGGGGAUGACGUCAAAUCAGCACGGCCCUUACGUCCAGGGCUACACACGUGUUACAAUGGCCGAUACAAAGGGCAGCUACCAGGUGACUGGAUGCUAAUCUCCAAAGUCGGUCUCAGUUCGGAUCGGAGUCUGCAACUCGACUCCGUGAAGUUGGAUUCGCUAGUAAUCGCAUAUCAGCAACGAUGCGGUGAAUACGUUCCCGGGCCUUGUACACACCGCCCGUCAAGCCAUGGAAGCUGGGGGUACCUGAAGUCUGUCACCGCAAGGAGCGGCCUAGGGUAAAACUGGUAACUGGGGCUAAGUCGUAACAAGGUAACC